UUUUGUAUGUUGUGAUGUGCUGAAGGCAGCUGACACGAGCAGACUCAACAAGCUCUCCAGGAGAGCUGACUCUGUCCUGGAGGUUCAGCUGGAGUCUGUGUUGGAGGUGUCAGAGAGGAGGAUGCUGAGGAAGCUGCUUGGACAACACCUCCCACC